UCGGAAAGAGGUCAGUUACGAUGUUACGAUAUUUACUGCUUCUUGUGUUUUUUUUUUUUCUCUUUUGACAUUCAA
rnacentral:ribozyme from 15 species